UUAGGAAUUUUGCGCAAUGGGCGAAAGCCUGACGCAGCAACGCCGCGUGAGGGAAGACGGCUUUCGGGUUGUAAACCUCUUUUAGCAAGGACGAACACAAUGACGGUACUUGCAGAAAAAGCACCGGCUAACUACGUGCCAGCAGCCGCGGUAAUACGUAGGGUGCAAGCGUUAUUCGGAUUUAUUGGGCGUAAAGCGCAUGCAGGCGGUUCGGUAAGUCUGAUGUGAAAGCCCUCGACUUAAUCGAGGAAGUGCAUUGGAUACUGCCAAACUAGAGUGCAGGAGGGGUGAGCGGAAUUCCUGGUGUAGAGGUGAAAUUCGUAGAUAUCAGGAGGAACAACAGCGGCGAAGGCGGCUCACUGGACUGCAACUGACGCUCAGAUGCGAUAGCGUGGGGAGCAAACA
rnacentral:rRNA from 1 species